GGGCUGGGGCUCAGUGGUCAAGCACUUGCCUCGCAAGUAUGAGUUACUGGGUUCAAUCCUCAGCACCACA
rnacentral:tRNA from 1 species